rnacentral:rRNA from 1 species
AUGGGCAAUGUGGUGUCCUCAAUCCCAAGAAUGUGUGCAUGCAAGAUGGGGGUUGUAAGAAUUGAUAUCCACGUCCUUUUAACUCAAACAACCGUCCAAGGAAAGGAUCCAUAUCCUAUGUAUCGAAGACGCGAUGAUGGUCUUUGGGCACAGGUUCGAGGGCGGACGCUGAAUAAUAGGUGGGUUGUGCCAUACAACCCUUACCUUCUUAGGAGGUACAACUGUCACAUCAAUGUCGAUGUGUGCUCGAGUAUCAAGGCGGUGAAGUACCUAUUUAAGUAUAAAUACAAGGGCCAUGAUCGGGCUUCAGCUUCCCUUGACGAGGCUGAUAGCAAUGGCAACAUCGACGAGAUCAAGCAGUAUAGGGAUGCAAGGUGGCUAACACCGCCAGAGGCGUUGUGGAGGAUCUACAGCUUUAACCUUAGUGGGAUCUUCUCAUCUGUGAGACAAUUGCAACUUCACCUCCCGAACAUGCAUAUGAUCUCAUUCAAUGCAAGAGAGGAUCUGAGUGAUGUCGUUACUCGGCAUGGUGCCUCCAGAACAAUGUUGACCGAGUAUUUUGAGGCAAACAAGAAAUACCCGGAGGCUCGGGCAUUGUUGUAUAGGGAUUCCCAAAGGCAUUCGUAUGGGAUGUAUGUAGAAAGCAGGUAG